GUUUGUGACUCAGUGGUAGAGCGCUUGCCUAGCAUGCAUGAGGCACUGGGUUCCAUCCCCAGCACCACA
rnacentral:tRNA from 1 species